CACAUGUUUGGAAGUUGAAAGACGGCAUCUCGCUGUCACUAUAAGAUGGACCCGCGGCGCAUUAGCUAGUUGGUGAGGUAAUGGCUCACCAAGGCAACGAUGCGUAGCCGACCUGAGAGGGUGAUCGGCCACACUGGGACUGAGACACGGCCCAGACUCCUACGGGAGGCAGCAGUAGGGAAUCUUCCACAAUGGACGAAAGUCUGAUGGAGCAACGCCGCGUGAGUGAAGAAGGAUCUCGGUUCGUAAAACUCUGUUGCAAGGGAAGAACAAGUAGCGUAGUAACUGGCGCUACCUUGACGGUACCUUGUUAGAAAGCCACGGCUAACUACGUGCCAGCAGCCGCGGUAAUACGUAGGUGGCAAGCGUUGUCCGGAAUUAUUGGGCGUAAAGCGCGCGCAGGUGGUUCUUUAAGUCUGAUGUGAAAGCCCCGGCUCACCGGGGAGG
rnacentral:rRNA from 1 species